rnacentral:misc_RNA from 1 species
GGAUAAAUCUUGAAAUUUCUUUUCAAGUUUAUUUGAUUUUCAUGAUUGAAUUUCAGGAUUCUAAAUAGUAAUAAUUUAGUCCAUCUUCUAAAGCAUCCAAAUUGAUAGAUUUUCUGCCAUUUUCCACUGUUUUGAAAUUGUAAGUUACGUUUAUUUGAGUAAGAUCCAUCAAAUUGUAUGUGUUCUUUCAUUUGGUGAUUACUUCUCGUGUUGCACGUCAUGUGAUUAAUUUCCUGUUGUGCGUUUUUAUAUUAUAGGUGUUCUUAUAUUUGUCCUUGUUUCCCACAUGAGAAAGGCGGAUGGAUCACCUGUAUGACUGCUGAAAAUGUAUUUGUGUAGCAUCUGGUUUCUUU